rnacentral:rRNA from 1 species
UACAGAGGGGGCAAGCGUUGUUCGGAAUUACUGGGCGUAAAGGGCGCGUAGGCGGCCUUCUAAGUCGAACGUGAAAUCCCCGGGCUCAACCCGGGAACUGCGUCCGAUACUGGAAGGCUUGAAUCCGGGAGAGGGAUGUGGAAUUCCAGGUGUAGCGGUGAAAUGCGUAGAUAUCUGGAGGAAUACCGGUGGCGAAGGCGGCAUCCUGGACCGAGAUUGACGCUGAGGAGCGAAAGCUAGGGGAGCAAACGGG